AUUGAACGCUGGCGGCAGGCCUAACACAUGCAAGUCGAACGAGUGGCGGACGGGUGAGUAAUGUCUGGGAAACUGCCUGAUGGAGGGGGCUAACUACUGGAAACGGUAGCUAAUACCGCAUACCAUCGGAUGUGCCCAGAUGGGAUUAGCUAGUAGGUGGGGUAAAGGCUCACCUAGGCGACGAUCCCUAGCUGGUCUGAGAGGAUGACAAGCCACACUGGAACUGAGACACGGUCCAGACGCCUACGGGCGGCAGCAGUGGGUAAUAUGGCACAAGGGGCGCAAGCCUGAUGCAGCCAUGCCGCGUGUAUGAAGAAGGCCUUCGGGUUGUAAAGUACUUUCAGCGGGGAGGCGGUACCCGCAGAAGAAGCACCGGCUAAAUCCGUGCCAGCAGCCGCGGUAAUUC
rnacentral:rRNA from 1 species